GCUCAGAACGAACGCUGGCGGCGCGCCUAAUACAUGCAAGUCGAGCGAGAAGGUGUAGCAAUACACUUGUAAAGCGGCGAACGGGUGAGGAAUACAUGGGUAACCUACCAUCGAGUGGGGAAUAACCAGCCGAAAGGUUGGCUAAUACCGCGUACGCCUCCGGAUUUACGGAUUCGGAGGGAAAGCCACACUGUGAGUGUGGCGCUCAUUGAUGGGCUCAUGUCCUAUCAGCUUGUUGGUAGGGUAACGGCCUACCAAGGCUUUGACGGGUAGCUGGUCUGAGAGGACGAUCAGCCACACUGGCACUGCGACACGGGCCAGACUCCUACGGGAGGCAGCAGUAAGGAAUAUUGCGCAAUGGACGAAAGUCUGACGCAGCGACGCCGCGUGGGGGAUGAAGGUCUUCGGAUUGUAAACCCCUUUCGGGAGGGAAGAUGGAACGAGCAAUCGUUCGGACGGUACCUCCAGAAGCAGCCACGGCCAACUUCGUGCCAGCAGCCGCGGUAAUACGAAGGUGGCAAGCGUUGUUCGGAUUCACUGGGCGUACAGGGUGUGUAGGCGGUUUGGUAAGCCUUCUGUUAAAGCUUCGGGCCCAACCCGGAAAGCGCAGAGGGUACUGCCAGGCUAGAGGGCGGGAGAGGAGCGCGGAAUUCCCGGUGUAGCGGUGAAAUGCGUAGAGAUCGGGAGGAAGGCCGGUGGCGAAGGCGGCGCUCUGGAACGUACCUGACGCUGAGACACGAAAGCGUGGGGAGCAAACAGGAUUAGAUACCCUGGUAGUCCACGCCCUAAACUAUGGAUACUAAGUGUCGGCGGGUUACCGCCGGUGCCGCAGCUAACGCAUUAAGUAUCCCGCCUGGGAAGUACG
rnacentral:rRNA from 1 species